GAGCGGCGAACGGGUGAGUAACACGUGAGUAACCUGCCCCUGACUCUGGGAUAAGCCUGGGAAACUGGGUCUAAUACCGGAUAUGACANUUNCCNGCAUGGANGGGAUGUGGAAAGUUUUUUCGGUUGGGGAUGGGCUCGCGGCCUAUCAGCUUGUUGGUGGGGUAGUGGCCUACCAAGGCGACGACGGGUAGCCGGCCUGAGAGGGCGACCGGCCACACUGGGACUGAGACACGGCCCAGACUCCUACGGGAGGCAGCAGUGGGGAAUAUUGCGCAAUGGGCGGAAGCCUGACGCAGCGACGCCGCGUGGGGGAUGACGGCCUUCGGGUUGUAAACCUCUUUCAGCAGGGACGAAGUUGACGUGUACCUGUAGAAGAAGCGCCGGCUAACUACGUGCCAGCAGCCGCGGUAAUACGUAGGGCGCAAGCGUUGUCCGGAAUUAUUGGGCGUAAAGAGCUCGUAGGUGGCUUGUUGCGUCUGCCGUGAAAGCCCGUGGCUUAACUGCGGGUCUGCGGUGGAUACGGGCAGGCUAGAGGCUGGUAGGGGCAAGCGGAAUUCCU
rnacentral:rRNA from 1 species